rnacentral:misc_RNA from 1 species
UUACAAUCUGAUUAGUCGUCUUUGCUGUUGAAAAACAACCACAAACAUUCUCGCGAAAGCGAUUGAAUAAAGUAAUGUAUAAACAUAAAAUAGUUGCAUAUUGUUUAAUCUUUUCUACGUGUUUACGUUGUUGUUCAAAAUUAUAGACAGAGUGUUAUAUGUGCAACUCCAUGGUCUACAUUUCGUAUAAGGCGACAAUAAGGCUCUAGCUGCAGAGCUGCAUCAUGAUAAAUUGGAAUUGGUAUAUUACGAUAAAAGCUAUAUAAAAAAUCCAAUUUUUUCAAUAAGUGAACUCAAUGGACAGUAUGGAUUUAAUAUAUCCUUUGAUUUAUUAAAAGAUCUUGGAAUGCAUGUAAAGCUCAAUAUAAAUAUUAGCAUGCAAGAGGAAAAUAGUAAAGAAUAUACGUCAAUGCAAAAUUUUGAAGACAUGGACGUAUGCGAUAUGUUGAAAUCUGAUAUGUUUGGCAUAAGGAAGCUCAUGGCAGUCGCUAAUAUUACCGAUUGUCCUUGGAAAGCGGGUCAUUAUAAAAUGCUAGAUUUAAAAGGAGAUCCCAGCGGGCUACCCCCUGUACCAUCUGGCAAUUACAUGACAGAUUGAUGAUAAAUAAGAAUGGAAGAGUGUUCAUUUUGAUUCAACCGAAAAAGCUAGUUGUCUGCCAUGUUCGUUUCAUUUUGGAGGAUCUUCUAAUUAAUCACGGAACAUUAAAAAAACCCUGGAUAGCAUUAAUUUACAGUGCCUUAGUUGUGUCUGCGUUCAUUCGGUUCAGAAAGUAGCUGUCCUAAAAAGAAUCACAAAAGUGCCUUUUUUUCGAUUACGAACGAAUACAGUGUGGCAUUGCUGAAGGAAGGAUUUAUGACAAAUGAACUGAUUGUCCAAGUGAGAAGAAAUUACAGCUAAUUCUGAUGGUACUGAAAGAGUCGAUGCUUUUGAUGUCUUACCCUUGCAACAUAAUUUUGAACCUGAGAAGGGGAGGCAUUUGAAAAUUACUUUGGAAACGACUGAAACAACAACUUGUCUGCAGUGAUAUUCCUCCUGGAUUUGGCUUGUUAAUUCUACCUGUGGACCUUAGGAAGCUACUCUCUGCAGUUAUUUAAGAUUACCCAACAAAUGAGUUCAGUUUGGCGCUACUCGAACAACCGUCUACGUCGGUGUGGUCUUUUCUGGACUUUGUUCCUGAUUUGAUAUUUUCAUCUUCACUUCGCAACACUAUGCAGUUGAUUUUCGACCGAUUAGUGGGAGCAACUAAGGAUCUAUUUGAUUUCAAAUGGAACAACAAAAUUUCUGCUAUG